CGUAGAUGACCUGCCCUUUAGUGGGGAAUAACAUCUCGAAAGAGAUGCUAAUACCGCAUAAGCUCUCUAUCGUUGGGUAGAGAGGAAACGCUCCUUGUAAGAGGGGUGGCUGAAGGAGGGGUCUGCGGCGGAUUAGCUAGUUGGUGGGGUAAAAGCCUACCAAGGCGACGAUCCGUAGCUGGUCUGAGAGGACGGCCAGCCACACUGGGACUGAGAUACGGCCCAG
rnacentral:rRNA from 1 species